UACGGAGGGUGCGAGCGUUAAUCGGAAUUACUGGGCGUAAAGCGCGCGUAGGUGGCUUGAUAAGCCGGUUGUGAAAGCCCCGGGCUCAACCUGGGAACGGCAUCCGGAACUCCCUUUCUUGAGUACAGAAGAGGAGAGUGGAAUUCCACGUGUAGCGGCGAAAUGCGUAGAUAUGUGGAGGAACACCAGUGGCGAAGGCGACUCUCUGGUCUGUAACUGACGCUGAGGCGCGAAAGCGUGGGGAGCAAACAGG
rnacentral:misc_RNA from 1 species